rnacentral:rRNA from 1 species
UACGGAGGGUGCAAGCGUUGCUCGGAAUUAUUGGGCGUAAAGGGUAGGUAGGUGGUCUCGUUUGUCUGCGGUGAAAGCCUUGGGCUUAACCCAAGAAGUGCCGCAGAAACGGCGAGACUAGAGUUCUGGAGAGGGUCGUGGAAUUCCCGGUGUAGCGGUGAAAUGCGUAGAGAUCGGGAGGAACACCAGAGGCGAAAGCGGCGACCUGGACAGAUACUGACACUCAACUACGAAAGCGUGGGGAGCAAACAGG